CGAGUUGGCCGGGCGGCCGCGGCGACGGGAACCGGCAUCCACGAGAUGUCAGGCCCGAUGCCGAGGAAAGUCCGGACUCCACAGAGCAGGGCGGUUGCUAACGGCAACCCGAGGUGACUCGCGGGACAGUGCCACAGAAAACAGACCGCCGGCGCGUGAGCGUCGGUGAGGGUGAAACGGUGCGGUAAGAGCGCACCAGCACCCCAGGUGACUGGGGUGGCUAGGUAAACCCCGCCCGGAGCAAGGUUGAAGGCCGCACCGGUGUCCUCCGGGACACGGUGUGCGGCUGCGCAGGUGAUCGAGGGCUGCUCGCCCGAGCCUGCGGGUGAACCGCUCGAAGGUACCCGGCGACGGUGUGCCCAGAUGGAUGGUCGCCACCCGGCGCGUGAGCGUCGGGGACAGGAUCCGGCUUACACGCCGACUCGUCCG
rnacentral:RNase_P_RNA from 1 species